rnacentral:misc_RNA from 1 species
GGGUGGGGGGGUGAGGGGAGCAGUUGACGGUUCAGUGGUGAAGGCUGAGAAAACAGGAGGAGAAACCAGCUGUGUUUCAUGCGCAUAUGGCCCUGUAGCAAACAUUGUGGAUGAAGGACCUCCAGGUGAGUUUGCAGACAGUGACAUGAAACAGCUAGGUGAUUGGACUGUUGAAGGGAGUGCAGAAUUUGUAAAAGAUGCUGGUGAAGAAGGUGGGGCUAGAAGGGAUGGAGUUAUCACUGUAGCCUGGUUGGUCAUUCCUGCUGCUUGAGGUCCAUUAGGCUGGGUUGUCACGGCAUUGCCCUCAGGUAAACGAGAUGCAGGUACGAUGCGCUUUUCUCCCUUCUGAGAGUG